rnacentral:rRNA from 1 species
CCUACGGGAGACAGCAGUGGGGAAUAUUGCACAAUGGGCGAAACCCUGAUGCAGCGACGCCGCGUGAGUGAAGAAGUAUUUCGGUAUGUAAAGCUCUAUCAGCAGGGAAGAAACCCACCCUCCGGGGUGGCUGACGGUACCUGACUAAGAAGCCCCGGCUAACUACGUGCCAGCAGCCGCGGUAAUACGUAGGGGGCAAGCGUUAUCCGGAUUUACUGGGUGUAAAGGGAGCGUAGGUGGCAAGGCAAGUCAGAUGUGAAAACCCGGGGCCCAACCCCGAGAGUGCAUUUGAAACUGUCUGGCUAGAGUGCAGGAGAGGUAAGUGGAAUUCCUAGUGUAGCGGUGAAAUGCAUAGAUAUAAGGAGGAACACCAGUGGCGAAGGCGGCUUACUGGACUGUAACUGACACUGAGGCUCGAAAGCGUGGGGAGCAAACAGGAUUAGAUACCCCUGUAGUC